rnacentral:rRNA from 1 species
GUGAGGAAUAUUGGUCAAUGGACGAGAGUCUGAACUAGCCAAGUAGCGUGAAGGAUGACUGCCCUAUGGGUUGUAAACUUCUUUUAUAAGGGAAUAAAGUGAGGGACGUGUCCCUUUUUGUAUGUACCUUAUGAAUAAGGAUCGGCUAACUCCGUGCCAGCAGCCGCGGUAAUACGGAGGAUCCAAGCGUUAUCCGGAUUUAUUGGGUUUAAAGGGAGCGUAGGUUGACAUAUAAGUCAGCUGUGAAAGUUUACGGCUCAACCGUGAAAUUGCAGUUGAUACUGUAUGUCUUGAGUGUACAAGAGGUGGGCGGAAUUCGUGGUGUAGCGGUGAAAUGCUUAGAUAUCACGAAGAACUCCAAUUGCGAAGGCAGCUCACUGGGGUACAACUGACACUGAGGCUCGAAAGUGUGGGUAUCAAACAGGAUUAGAUACCCUGGUAGUCC